rnacentral:tRNA from 4 species
GGAGCGGUAGUUCAGUUGGUUAGAAUACCGGCCUGUCACGCCGGGGGUCGCGGGUUCGAGUCCCGUCCGCUCC